rnacentral:rRNA from 1 species
CCAUGCAGUCGAACGGCAGCGCGGAGAGUUUACUCUCUGGCGGCGAGUGGCGGACGGGUGAGUAACGCGUAGGAAUUUACCUUGUAGUGGGGGACAACCCGAGGAAACUCGGGCUAAUACCGCAUAAUCUCUACGGAGGAAAGUGGGGGAUCUUCGGACCUCACGCUAUAAGAUGAGCCUGCGUUGGAUUAGCUUGUUGGUAGGGUAAAGGCCUACCAAGGCGACGAUCCAUAGCUGGUCUGAGAGGACGACCAGCCACACUGGGACUGAGACACGGCCCAGACUCCUACGGGAGGCAGCAGUGGGGAAUAUUGGACAAUGGGCGCAAGCCUGAUCCAGCAAUGCCGCGUGUGUGAAGAAGGCCUUCGGGUGUAAAGCACUUUCAGCGGGGAAGAAAUACUUAAAGUUAAUAGCUUUGAGGGUUGACGUUACCCGAAGAAGAAGCACCGGCUAACUCUGUGCCAGCAGCCGCGGUAAUACAGAGGGUGCGAGCGUUAAUCGGAAUUACUGGGCGUAAAGCGCGCGUAGGUGGAUAUUUAAGUCGGAUGUGAAAUCCCUGGGCUCAACCUAGGAAUUGCAUUCGAUACUGGAUAUCUUGAGUAUAGUAGAGGGAAGUGGAAUUUCCGGUGUAGCGGUGAAAUGCGUAGAUAU